CCGUUAUUGAAAAAGAGGAGGAAAGUCAAACACGUAAUAUGUAUCUUUAAUCGACUCGUAAAGAUUGUUUAAACAAGUAUUUAAGGUAGCCUCCCCGCAGGGAACUAGACUAGUUCACGUGUGUUUGAAAGCUAUGGAAAAGAGCCACACGUGGACUAUCUUGGUCAUUUUGACCGUAUUGGCCCUUCUGCCCAGAGCUGAACAAGGAGUGGAUGCAGGCUCUAUGGUGCAAGUUCCAGGGCGGGGAUCUCUUCCUGCAGUUGUAAAGCGCGUUAUAAUUGAGGGAAGACUUCUCGGACCCCCUAAAAAUCCACGCCCUACUAAGGGACCGAAGCGGCCAACUCCUACAAAACCGUUCGGCCGCAAAUAGCACCUGGACAUGGAGAACAAUGGUAAGAAGAAUACGGCGAGAAUCUCCUCGAAGCAAACUCCAACUGGACAAGGAGAAUAUUAUAGUGGAAGGAACACGCCAAACGCGCUGCAGACUUUGCGAAGAAUGGUUCACACAUCUUCGCAGCCACUCCAGGGAAAACUGCUCCUAAGUGCUCACCUAGUAAAGCCUAACUACGAUUUACUUCGUGCGCAUCCGGUUUGCUUACAUAAUUUUGUAUGAAAUAAAAGUAUUUCCUUUAA